UUGAAGAGUUUGAUCAUGGCUCAGAUUGAACGCUGGCGGCAGGCCUAACACAUGCAAGUCGAGCGGUAGCACAGAGAGCUUGCUCUCGGGUGACGAGCGGCGGACGGGUGAGUAAUGUCUGGGAAACUGCCUGAUGGAGGGGGAUAACUACUGGAAACGGUAGCUAAUACCGCAUAACGUCGCAAGACCAAAGUGGGGGACCUUCGGGCCUCAUGCCAUCAGAUGUGCCCAGAUGGGAUUAGCUAGUAGGUGGGGUAAUGGCUCACCUAGGCGACGAUCCCUAGCUGGUCUGAGAGGAUGACCAGCCACACUGGAACUGAGACACGGUCCAGACUCCUACGGGAGGCAGCAGUGGGGAAUAUUGCACAAUGGGCGCAAGCCUGAUGCAGCCAUGCCGCGUGUGUGAAGAAGGCCUUCGGGUUGUAAAGCACUUUCAGCGGGGAGGAAGGCGUUAAGGUUAAUAACCUUGGCGAUUGACGUUACCCGCAGAAGAAGCACCGGCUAACUCCGUGCCAGCAGCCGCGGUAAUACGGAGGGUGCAAGCGUUAAUCGGAAUUACUGGGCGUAAAGCGCACGCAGGCGGUCUGUCAAGUCGGAUGUGAAAUCCCCGGGCUCAACCUGGGAACUGCAUUCGAAACUGGCAGGCUAGAGUCUUGUAGAGGGGGGUAGAAUUCCAGGUGUAGCGGUGAAAUGCGUAGAGAUCUGGAGGAAUACCGGUGGCGAAGGCGGCCCCCUGGACAAAGACUGACGCUCAGGUGCGAAAGCGUGGGGAGCAAACAGGAUUAGAUACCCUGGUAGUCCACGCCGUAAACGAUGUCGAUUUGGAGGUUGUGCCCUUGAGGCGUGGCUUCCGGAGCUAACGCGUUAAAUCGACCGCCUGGGGAGUACGGCCGCAAGGUUAAAACUCAAAUGAAUUGACGGGGGCCCGCACAAGCGGUGGAGCAUGUGGUUUAAUUCGAUGCAACGCGAAGAACCUUACCUGGUCUUGACAUCCACAGAACUUAGCAGAGAUGCUUUGGUGCCUUCGGGAACUGUGAGACAGGUGCUGCAUGGCUGUCGUCAGCUCGUGUUGUGAAAUGUUGGGUUAAGUCCCGCAACGAGCGCAACCCUUAUCCUUUGUUGCCAGCGGUCCGGCCGGGAACUCAAAGGAGACUGCCAGUGAUAAACUGGAGGAAGGUGGGGAUGACGUCAAGUCAUCAUGGCCCUUACGACCAGGGCUACACACGUGCUACAAUGGCAUAUACAAAGAGAAGCGACCUCGCGAGAGCAAGCGGACCUCAUAAAGUAUGUCGUAGUCCGGAUUGGAGUCUGCAACUCGACUCCAUGAAGUCGGAAUCGCUAGUAAUCGUAGAUCAGAAUGCUACGGUGAAUACGUUCCCGGGCCUUGUACACACCGCCCGUCACACCAUGGGAGUGGGUUGCAAAAGAAGUAGCUUAACCUUCGGGAGGGCGCUUACCACUUUGUGAUUCAUGACUGGGGUGAAGUCGUAACAAGGUAACCGUAGGGGAACCUGCGGUUGGAUCACCUCCUU
rnacentral:rRNA from 1 species